rnacentral:rRNA from 1 species
GUGGGGAAUCUUCCGCAAUGGACGAAAGUCUGACGGAGCGACGCCGCGUGAGUGAAGAAGGCCUUCGGGUCGUAAAGCUCUGUCAUCAGGGACGAACGGCCGGUGGAGUGGAAAGCCACCGGAUUGACGGUACCUGAGAAGGAAGCCACGGCUAACUACGUGCCAGCAGCCGCGGUAAUACGUAGGUGGCAAGCGUUGUCCGGAAUUAUUGGGCGUAAAGCGCGCGCAGGUGGGAUCUUAAGUCCAUUUUGAAAGUUCGGAGCUCAACUCCGUGAUGGGAUGGAAACUGGGAUUCUUGAGUACCGGAGAGGAAAGCGGAAUUCCCCGUGUAGCGGUGAAAUGCGUAGAUAUGGGGAGGAACACCAGUGGCGAAGGCGGCUUUCUGGACUGUACCUGACGCUGAGGCGCGAAAGCGUGGGGAGCGAACGGGAUUAGAAACCCGGGUAGUCC